AGAAAAUGAAAUCUUCAUCAUCUGUUGGAUAUUUUGUUCAUUUUCUAAUUAUAAAAAACCAGAAUCCAAAAAGUACACAAAUGACAAAGCAAAACGCGUACAUAUAUGUUUGGUAAACAGACCAAAUCAAAAGUAGUAGGGCAGCAGCUUGGCUAGCAAUCAGCGAAGCCUUGGUUGGGUUUCAGUUUGACAUUGUAUAAGAAGAAAAGUAAACAUAGAAGUGGCAGAUGGCAAAUAUGCAGAGUACUUAUUCUACACAAGAAGCUUUUGAAUACCUUCCGGCAUAACUUAUGGGCAUCCACCUAAUUAAGCGAGCGUAAUAAAA
rnacentral:misc_RNA from 1 species